UACGUAGGCAGCAAGCGUUGUUCGGAAUUACUGGGCGUAAAGAGUGUGUAGGCGGUUCCUUAAGUUCCGUGUGAAAUCCCCCGGCUCAACCGGGGGGGUGCCGGGGAAACUGGGGGGCUCGAGUAUGGGAGAGGAAAGCGGAAUUCCUGGUGUAGCGGUGAAAUGCGUAGAUAUCAGGAGGAACACCUGAGGUGUAGACAGCUUUCUGGACCGUCACUGACGCUGAGGCACGAAAGCGUGGGUAGCAAACAGG
rnacentral:rRNA from 1 species